GGAUGCGAUCAUACCAGCACUAAUGCACCGGAUCCAUCAGAACUCCGAAGUUAAGCGUGCUUGGGCGAGAGUAGUACUAGGAUGGUGACCCCCUGGAAGUCCUCGUGUUGCAUCCC
rnacentral:rRNA from 1 species